CACGCAGUAAACGAUGAUUACUAGGAGUUUGCGAUAGACAGUAAGCUCCCGAGCGAAAGCGUUAAGUAAUCCACCUGGGGAGUACGCCGGCAACGGUGAAACUCAAAGGAAUUGACGGGGGCCCGCACAAGCGGAGGAACAUGUGGUUUAAUUCGAUGAUACGCGAGGAACCUUACCCGGGAUUGAACGUAAGCGGAAUAACGUCAAAAGAAGUUAGCUAGCAAUAGCCACGUACGAGGUGC
rnacentral:rRNA from 1 species